GAGACACGCCAUAUCAGUUGUAGCGGACCUGUUUUCAGGUGGAAGUAUGUUCCAGAAUCUCUUAGUAUAGCACCAAUGAAGGUUAGCUCUGAGCAGUAUAACGAAAUAAUCAAAACAAUUUCUUCAAAACAUCUGGUUAUAGGACGACAUUGUAGAAAUCUUUGGUGGCCGACAAUAUGUUUCGCGUUUACCAUUGUCAUCCCAACACUAGGCUUCGGACUUGCAUUUAGCAUUCUUCAGUUCGAUGUAGGAUCUGAUUAUUAUAAGGCGGGUGCUAUCCUGUUGGCAUUCCCUGCUGUAGUAGUGCUGUGGUUAGCUAUGUGUGGAUGCUCGGAUUAUUGGGGACGACGUGCGAUGAAAAUCACUUUGCGCGAGGUUAACAGGAAACUUCUACCAAAUAAGGUCAUGAUCACUUAUAAAAGACAAAGAACGACUGCUACAUUUACUGUAUCCACUUAUGCUACGAUUUAAAAACUUGUGUGUGCCCUCUACUUUUUUCUUUUCAUUAUUUUUGCUCUAAAUGUUCCUUUUUAAAGAAACUCGUUCUAUCUUGUAAUGUAGCAAGAAAUAGCAUUGUUGAAUUCAAUAUCGUAUCGGACAGAAGAAUUAACGAAAAAAAAAAUGUGAGGAUUCUACCAGUCCGGUAGCCUAAUUGAAUGAAUACUAGUAGACUAAAUAAUAAUAUACUGGAUGACACGUCGCCCAGGAUAAAAAUGUGUCUAUUGGAUGUUGGCAAGGACAUAACAACCCAAUUUUAUCAGGUGUCCCCAGGAAGAUCUUAAAUGAUGUAAUGAAAAUGACACAUGUGCAGUCUUCUGAUUACUCUUUGUACUAUAAAAUUCAGACAAGUUUGUUUUACAUUUGGCCCUGUACUGUUCAACUUUCAGAUAUUUUAGAUUUCAAUGACAACUUUUAAUUUUGCUCUAUUUCCAAAUGUACAGGUAACCAAAAAAAAUGUAAAAUCUGUGCUGUACUAAUAUCUGAUAACUUGACCACCAAAAGUUACAAUACACAGAGUCAUGAGGAUUUAUCCCUCUUAUAGUUUAUGUGUUACAGUUUCCCUCGGUUUUAAUUUGUAACCCGGAAUUGUUUUUUUCACAAUCGAUUUUUGACUUUUGAAAAGCGGUAUACUACUGUUGCGCUUUUUUACGUUCUUGCGAAAGAACGAAGAGAGAAAAGGGACAGGCCAAGACCUCAUUAUUCAAGACUUUCUUCAGAACGUUCAGUUGAGUUUUAUUUAACAUAAUACGUUUUCCACAAUUACAGAGCUAGGUAGAAUGGUACCCACCAUUACAACGCGUAAGAAAGUGUUGUACAAAAAUGACAUAUCACUGCAUAUAGCAUUUCCUUAACUUGAUAUCCGAUUUGUUUUGUUUUCUUUGACAUGACAUCAUGUGUAAAUCACAUGGCAGCAGAACUACACAACAAAUGAAUCCGAGAGAGUCAAAACCGUGAAAUGGUAGUUCUUAAUAUGAAUGACGAUGAUGAUGAGGCACUAUUAGAUGAUAUAACUGGGGAUUCAAUUACAUGUGACGAACAGGAGUUGGCUACUAAUGACCUGUUGGAUUUAUCCAGUGCCUACCUAAUGGCCUAUAUGAAUGAAAAACUAGACAAUGCUGUAGACAAUACAAGGCAUGCAACAAAGGCAAAAUGUAUUUGUCAAUUUGCUGAGUCACUUGAAAUCAAAACAAACACAGAUGUGUGAAGACGGAGAACAGAUAAUGCAUACAUGUACUCUGCCUUUAUCUAUCUAUCUAUAUCUUUUGAUGUAAAUUCAGUACUGUAUAUCCAAAUCUAAAUACAAUGACACAUUAACUGUUA